UUAUUUCCUCUCUCCCCACCAGCGCAGUGUCUCUUUGCUUCCUGCCCCUCAGCCCUUCUUUCUUCCACCCACUCUCCUUCCCCUCUCUCUUUUCCCAUCCCUACUAAGAAAAGCAGGAAUGAUUGUGGACGUGGAAUGCAGACGGGAAAGGAGCCGCGGGCAGGAGGAGACAAACUAGAAACAUCUCAGGAACUAGUCCAGCCCCACCCAGCUGCAGAUAUGACAAAAGGAACAGUCUCAGACCAACAACGGAAUCCUAGACAGCGAAAAGCAAGGUUGGAAAGAUCCACACUGCUGCACAUCUGAGAGUGGACCGUGCUGGGCCCCCAGAGGAAGUGGGGAGAGCGUCACCAACCACGGCCCCGGCUACAGCCCAAUGCAGGGCCACGAUCGUCACUCCUGUCACCUGGAUCCUCCUGGUGACCCUCACCUGCUCUCUUCUCCUCGGCAU